rnacentral:lncRNA from 1 species
GUUUUCUAUUCCAUUUUAUCAGAAAAUAUUUUCGGAUAAAAUUUCUGUUAUCAUAAAAAUUCUAAAAAAUUACUAAAAUUCUACUAAUGUAUUUAUAUAUAUUUUUUACUUUAAUAGCGUAAAAAUAAUUACGGGUCGGUGUAUUACAUGUUGGGCUUCCUAAUGUGAUGGACUAUUUGAUUUGAUAUAAUUCCUAAUACUUAUACAAAUCUCCUACAGAUUGGAAAAUAAUAAUAAUAAAUAAUUAAUAAAUAACGAAUAAGACUCAUAUUUGUGGAGAGUCCUAUGUAAAUAAAACUACGGAAAAUUUUAGUAGCAGUAAGAUCAUAACUUAAUGUAAGGGGAUAAAAUAUCAAUUAUACCAACUAUCAUCUUUGGUCAAGCUAAGGAAGGCAUCGUUGCUCGGUUGUUGCCAUACAGCAAGCUGUACAGGGGUCCUUGCGUCGAGGCUCGAUUGAGAUGUAACACCAUCUCUAGCUAAGUUAGGAUAUGCAUCGCUGCCGGGCUAUCGCUCCAUAGCAAAGCUUGGCAAGAUCAUUGCGCCAAAACUUGGUCGAGACACAACGGCCGAUGAUGAUCUUGAGGCAUAUCAGGGGACAAAAGGUGACUUGUAAGACGAGGUUUUCUCUGAUAGCCCCACGCUUGGAUUGAGGUGUUGACGACAUGAUGACUAGCUACUAGCCAAAUCUUAGGGUCAUGGCUGGGUCAACCGCCUGUUCACUGACAACAGUCAGCACAUCCAGACACACGUCGAGCUGUAGUCUGUUCAGUGACAUGACUGUUGAUGUGUCCUGGCAAGCGCCAAACUGCUAUAUAAGGGCAGACCUUAUUCUUUUAAAUAUAUGCAAUUUCAUCUAUUCUAAGCGUAUACUCUUUUCUCUCUCUACAUAUUCUUUGUGUCCACCAGUCAUAUAACUUGACAGUCGAAGAAUCAUUUUUCGAAAACAACUUCGUUGCCUUUUCUCACCAUUCUUGUCUUGUAGUUCAAUCCAUCCGCCACCUCUAGCCACAACUUUGCUACUGCGAGUGUCUAUUUUUGAUUUCUUUCCAUCCCUUACAUUGUAUGUAACCCUACACUUAAUAUCAAUUUAGUGAUCUGACACAUAAUAAUAUUGCUAGAUUUGAAGACUUUCAAAUAAUAUCAAUUACAUGGUCACUUAGACAAUUUAACCCCUCUUUCAAUGAAACGACACCGUUUGCAAAAUAAAAAGUGAGGCAUGUAUGACUUGCACCAUAGUUUUCUUUCCAAACACACUAGCCCAUUUCCACUAAGUUUGUCAUCGUACUGAAUGGGUGAACAACUAGUUGUCAUCGACCCUAACGGCUUGUCGCCAUCGACCCGACUUGCACCCAUGGUGUAUAUCCAACUUACACAUAAGGCACACAUGACUGGCAACCUAAGCACGCCUUGCACCACGAAAGUAACCACUAUGCAUGCAUUCAACUUGCACAUAGGCAUAUCCGACUAACACUCAAGGCACACACGAUUUUUACUCCAAGCACGACAGACUUUUCCCUCAAAAAGUAAGCAUUAGGCUUAACCAACUUGCACCCCAGAUAUGUCUGACUUGCACCAUGAAAAUUAACUUUUAGGCAUAUCCAACCUGCACUUAGGGCACACACGAAUUACACUGUAAGGUUUCAAUUUUUAUAUAUAUAAAAUUUUUGACUUUUCUAUGUUGUAUUGAGUUUAAAUUGAACAAUUCAGACUUGUGGGAUUAAAUAAAGAGGACAUUUAAACUUGAGAGUGAUAUAAUUGUAAUUAGAAGUUAGAGGGGCUGAAGUGUGCUUUUAUAAACUAUUUGACUCUGCAACAUCUUUACGCCGAAAGGGCUGAAAGAAAGAAAGUGGUGCCGCAAAGAAAAAAAGAAAAAAAAAUAAAAAAAUAAAAAAAUAAAAUUAAUAAAAUAACAAUAUUUAUAUAUAUAAUAUACUUUAUCAAACUUUAUAAAUAGGAGAGGGAGGAAGCUCGGAUGAAGAGAAGAGGAAAAGAAGAGAAGAGAGAGAGGAGAGGAGAAAGAAAUGAGAGAAAUUUAUGGCUGCAGGUUAAAUUUGAUCAUGAAAAUAGGGGUGCAGAUCAACGGUGAGAUGACGUUGGAUCAAUGCAAAAUUUUAGUAUGACGAUAUGGACGCCUGAUAUUCUAUAUGGCGGGGUCAAAUUCUAUUUGAGGUAAAGGGGGUUAGUUUAUUUGGGUUUUACUUUGGAUUUGUUGUUUAAUAGUUUAUAUAAAGUUUAUUGAGAUAUCUAUUUUUUUGUAUUAAAAUUGAAAUGAAAAAAUUUAGUUUUGAUGAGUAUAAUUUAUUUUUAUAGCGCAAAUUGAAAGAUAAAAAUGUUAAAUUUUAUUUGAAAGUGUUUGCUUUAAUAUCAGAUUUAUUGUCAAAUUAAUGCUCAUAAAUGCUAUAAAAAUAUUUACCAGUCAUAUAUGAAAAUUGUCUCUUAAUGAAUUAUGUUGGUGACAUUGAUGAUUGAUAAGGUGAUGUUAAUAAAAAGUUCAAAAGACAUAAACAGGUUAGAAAUAAUUUGGAAUUGUUGAGAAUGAAAAUUGUUAAGGAGGGACACUCUAAAUAUACCGGAAUUAGAUGGCUUGUAGAUAAGUACACAUAUAAAGUCCUAGAUGGCAAAGAUACGGAGGGAAUGUCAAGCUCACGGUUGAAAGUCCAGAAGAAAGUUGACAAUAAAGUACUAGAUGACAAAAUUACGAGAGGGGAAUGUCAUAAGCCACGGUUGAAAGGUCGGGAAGUUAACAAAAUAAAAAUCACUUAGAUGACAACGAUACGGAGGGUAAUAUCUAGCACACGGUGAAUAGUCCGGAACAGUUGACGGUGUUGUCAGGCUUAGUGCAAAUGCGGUUGGGUUAGGUAUUGUAUAAGGUAAUUCUAAAGUAUGGCGUACUACCUGUCUGAGAAAAGUCGAAUUUUUUGGAAACCUGUUGAUUUAGAGAAAUCAUGGAUUGAAAUAAAAGAUAUUUGAUACAAAUGAAAGCAUAUGUUAUUGAUAUCAUGUUGUCAUUAGUAUAGUAUGUAUCAUGGUUUGGCUUGAAGUAUCAAGUCCAUUGUUAAAGUCUUUGGUUUUGUAGUGGGGUAACUCACCUUUAUUAAAAAAAUAAUUAGGUACCGAGGGUUGUCUUUGAAUCUUGAGGCAUGUGGAUAUCAGUUGUGCUGGUUAAUUUGAUAAACAUAUUAAACGUGAAAUAGAUAUUGUAAUAUUAUUUCCGCACUAUGAUGUUAAAUGACAGAGUGUUGUCAUUUGUUUUUGACUUUUGCGCAUGUGAGUUGUUUGCUUACGGGGCCGGGUCUUGGUUUGAACGGGCAUGACAACAUGGUAUCAGAGCCUAGGUCGAAUUACCUAUGAGACGGGGAUGGUUUCAGACCACAUUUGGUUAACGUCUAAAGUAUUGAGAGUGGACGUUAGUGUACUAUCAUAUGAUAGGGAUAACAUGAAACAUACAUGCUACAUGUUAUUGAAUUGUUUUAUUGCUAUAGCAAUAUAUGACUUAAUAUAAGGAAAUGUUAUCUUAUUGCUUUUGUGGCAUUGUGGAGAACAUGCACCACGCAACGCGAGAGUUCCUGCGAAGUCACUACGGGAGAUCGUGGGGGCACGUGGAGCACGCGGCGGGGGCUCGUAGGGAAUCUCGAUGAGGGAGAUGAUAACCCAAGGGAGCAGUGAUAGGGAGGAAUGACAAGUACUCCUGUAGAACAAUGUAACGGAAUGUUGGAGUGCUCACAUACGAUUUAGUUGGUGGUGGCGCCGAACGAAUUAUGCAAGAGUGUUCACCGCCAUUGAGCAAGUGGUGAGAAACACUGUGACAACACUAUGCAUAAGUGCCAAUUAGAGCGAAAGAAAAUAGGGUUACCACGGCCAUGAAGGCCUUUCUUCAGCUACAGUCCACCAACGUUUAAGGGAGAGAGAACCACUCCGUUGUUGCAGACGAUUGGUUUGAACAAGUCACAAAAGCGUUGGAGACAAUCUUGGUGACUGAGGAAGAGUUUGCGGGUGUUGUUUGCAUCCAUCAAUUGAAAGGGGAUGCCCUCCAAUAGGGAAGACUGUGGAAGGAAGUGGAGGUAGAGAAGAAAGACGUGGGGCUUUCAAGAAAGAAGGCUUUCCUGGAUCAGUGUAUUUUACGGGACACAGCUAAGGAGGCAUUGAGAAUGAAAUUUAUUAACUUGGUUCAGGGAGUAGGAUGACUUGUGGUUCAAUAUGAGGCCAAGUUUUUACUAGUUUGUCAGAUUUGCAAAGCAUUUUAUCGGACAGAAGAGGAGAAGAGAGAAGCGAAAUAGUUUAUGCGGUGCUUAGGCGUCUAUAAGCGAAUAAGAGCGCGGGAAAUUUGAUUCAAAGUUUACGCAACUAUGGUUUAGCUCGGUGGGCGGGCUCAUUGAGAGACUUGAAUGAGACUAGGAAGAUUCAAAAUCCUAGUCACAGUUGUGAGGGAAACAUAGGCAACCCGUCUGAAGGGAGUAUUUUAAUAAGCCAAAGAGUUCUACUGACACUAGCAGCAGAAUCCUACAAGGUCGUACGCCACUUCUAAGUAUAUCUGGCCAAACAUACUGGGAGGGCCGAUUUGUUUGAUUGUCAUCAACCGGUCGUCCGUGUUAUGGGACUGCCCACUAAAGGGUCAGCAGCGGCAGUUACAAGUUACAGCAGGGGGGGGAUCAGCUCACUUUAGGCAAAAGGAACAAUCACUGUCCUGGGGCCACCUACUUGCUUUCAGUGUGGUCAGUGUUGGUCAUAUCAGUCGGCAAUUGCACGCAGAAAGAGAAGAAACAAUUCAGGGAGCCUGACAAGAUCACAAACGACCUACUCGGUCGUUCAGCCUCGAGGGCAAUCCAGCAUUUACAUCAGCAACAACUUUCACAUCAGUCCAGACCACAGUUGUAACUCAGCAGGGUCAGGGACGCAGGGAUGGGUUUACACUUAUGACGUCAGCAGCGGACCGUCUCAGGGACAGCGGCGGACAGCAAGAAGCAACAAUUGGGAUCACCUCUAUUGUACGAGGGGACUUACCUCAUGAUUAAUUAGAGGGCUCGUGUUCUCAUCGACACGGGCAUCAUUAUCAUUAUGGCUCAUCAUUUGCUUUGGCCUUAGAGUGAAGGCUGAGAUAUUAGAUUCAGUAACUUAGUUAGGACACUUCCAUGGGAGGUGGACAACCUUGAGGCGACUUGUUUGUAGAUCUUGUGAGAUUUGCAAUCAGUGAUAGACGGUUUAGUUUUGUUGGACUUUAUUUUGUUAGACAUGACAGUUUUGAUAUACUCAUUGGUAUGGCAUUAAUUGGGACAACUACGGGCCAUUAUAGAUUGUGUCCGACAUCAGGUUACCUUUUGCUACACCUAAGGGUGAUCGUUUCCAUUUUAGGAAGAUCGAGGUUGAGUUCUGUUCCCUUUGUUCAUUGAUGUGAGUAGCGCAAGGGGAAGUUGAAUUUUUCUUUCUCGGCUUGUUUGGUCGACGAUGUGUAGCAUUGCAUAGUCAUUAUGCCUUGCCACCAGUUGUAUGGCGAGUUUUCGGAUGUUCUUUCCCCAGAAAGAAUUUGACCCAAUUUACCACCGCACCGGGAGAUUGAGUUCUCUAUUGAUCUUAUAUCGGGCACUAAUCCCAUUCAGUACCCACCGUAUCAUUUUGCGCCGGCCAGAGUUACAAGAGUGAAAGUGCAGAUUCAAGGACUUGUUGGAUAAAGACUUACGGACCCCUAGUGCAUCGAUUGUGGGGAGCUUGGCCUAUUUGCUAAGAAGACGGACGGGGUCACUUAAAAUGUGUAGAGAUUAUCGACGAUGAAACAGUGACGAUAAAGAAUAAGUUCAACUUCGAGGAUCGAUGACUUAUUUGACCAAUGAAAAGGUUAUGAGCGUGUUCCGAAGAUCGAUUUAAGGUCAGGUUAUCAUAGUGAGAAUAAGGAGGGGGACAUUGCGGGAAGACGGCUUUUCUGCUCACGCUACGGGCAUUAUGAGUUGUCUUGUGAUGCCGUUUGCGUCUUACGACAUGCGCCAGCAAGCUUCAUGAAUUUACUGCAUCGUAUCUUCCAAAUCCAUAUUGACGUUUCGUUGGUCAUAUUCGGAGAGAUGACAUCUUAAUCUAUUCGCAAUAAUUAAGUCGUAUGAGGAGGCAUUUAAGGAUGUGUUGCAGCGAUUUGCGAGGAGAACAGCGCUUGUAUGCUAAGCUUAGAAAAGCGGAGUUUUGGUUAAACGAGGUACAGUUCUUUGGUAUGUUUUCGGGAAAGCGGAAAGAAGCAAGAGUAGCGGUUUUGAUUCAUCAAAGAUUGAGGGGCAGUGAUGAAUUGGAAUGACCAAAGACUGUUAUUUGAAAUGCGUAGUUUCUUGAGUUUAGAUGUCUACCGACGAUUUAUAGAGGACUUUCACGAUUGCGCACAAUGACUUGACUUACGAGGAAGGGGAUUCGUUUUGUUUGGAACAAUGAUGGGGCAUUAUUUCAGAACUUAAGAAGAGAUUGAUUUUCGGCACCCAAUUCUGGUAUACAUGUUGAACGAGGGUUUGGGUAUACCGUGACUGUGAUGCUUCACGUGAUGGCUUGGGUUUGCUGGUGUGAUGCAAUGGUUAAUAAAUGUGGCAUAUGGUUCUCGUCAGUUGAGACGCACAAACAAAAUUACCGACCUAAUGACUUGAACUGCGGGCCGUUAUUUUCUCUUUAAAACGUUGGGAGCAUUCACUUGUCUGGAGAGCGGUUUGGUUUGAAGUAUUUCAGACCACAACUACCUUUGAAGUACUUGUGUUCAAAAAGAAAAGACUUGAAAAUGGACACCGGGGCAGCGACGUUGGAUGGAGUACAUGGAGGACUACGACUUCGGAAUUGCCACUGUCAUCUAAGAAAGUGCCAACGUUGUGGAUGAGCGCUUAGUAGGAAAUCUCUUAGCACUUUGGCGAAGUUUAGUCCAUUGGUGAGUGGCAAAUGCUUCGUUAUCGGGUUUGAAUUCGACUUACUUCUCAGCGAGACGACGGUGAGUUGUACAUUAUUUCACAUUGGUUUGCAGAUCCAUCAAUCAUAGUAGGGCAGGUCAUUGAGGGCACACAGCAAGAUGUGGAGGUUAAAGACUAAUUUGCGACCCUCAUUACUAGAAAUGUAGGCCCCAAGAUUGGGGUUUUACAUGAGGAUCAGAGUUUGAGGAUAAGUCUAGAUGUUUGGUUGGGGGGGCCAUGUUCUAGUAUAUAAACGACGUUAUUCAUGGUUUCAUCAUUCCCGACUUGCAGUUCAUCCUGGAGGGACGACAAUGUAUUCAUUGAUUUUUGAUGUCGCCAAUUUUGCGUGGAGAAGACUGAAGAACGCUGUGCAUUGUCGUUUCUAGAUUUGAUUGUCAACAGGUAAAAGCCGAACACCAGAAAACCGACCGGUUUACUACAACCAAUACCAGUUUUUAAGAGUGGAAAUGGGAACAUAUCACUAUGGAUUUCGUUACGGGUUUACCUCGGUCGUUGAGAGGGCAUGGACGUGUUGGGGUAUAGCGAUCGUUUGACUAAAUCCGCACAUUUCUCUCCAAUCUCGUUUAUCAAAUUCGGCAGAGGAUCUUGGAGUCAUUUACGUUCGUGAAACGUUCCCCUUCAUGGUAGUUCGGCGUAUCUAAUAUUCAGAAAAGAUCCGCGUUUUACAUCGCCUCUUGUUGGAAGGGGAGGCAAUCUGCUCUUGGUUCGGAUUUGAGGCUUAGGCACGGCAUUUCCCAUCACAGAUGACGGGCAGUCUGAGGUACUAUUCAAAUUUUGGAGGGAAAUGUUACGGGCAUGGUAUUAGACUUUGGAGGAUCAUCUACAUUUAGUGGAAUUCGCGUAUGAAUAAUAGUUAUCAUAAGCGAAGUAUUGGCUGGCACCUUUUAAGGCGGUUAUAUGGAAGGACAGUGUAGAUCACCGUUGGUUGGAAUGACGUUGGAAACAACACUUGCAAGCUGAUUAUUAGGUACGUGACACGACUGAUAAGGGUAGUAUUGAUUAGAAAAUGUUUACUCACUGCACAAAGUCAUCAAGAAGAGUUAGGCUGACCGGAGGAAACGCCAUUUGGAGUUGCUGUGGGGAUCCCCUUUCUAAGGGUUUCACCUAGAAGGGGUUGAUGCGCUUCGGGCAUAGCGGCAAGCUAUUCAUUAAGGUUCAUGGAGACCGUUUUGAGAUUCUUGAUCGUAACAAAAUUGGGCCGUGGACAUACCAUAUUGGCCUUGCCCACCGAGGUGGCUAAUGUGCACAUGUGUUCAUGUUUCAUUAUUGCGGAAAAUAUGAGCCCGAUCCUUCACACGAUUUUGAAUUGGGGGAUACUUGAUGUCAAUGAGGAUUGCACGAUGAGGAGCGAUAGAUUCGGGUUGUUGGACACAAGGGAUCAAGUUUGAGAGGAAAGGAAUAUUCCAUUGUGAAGGUUCUCUGGCUCAUGGAUAGAGGAAGCUACGUGGGAACGUGAAAUCAGAGGUUCGCGCAAAAUAUCCAAAUCUUUUGACCAAUGGGGACGUUUAUCUAAUUUCGAGACGAAAUUCUUAAGUGGUGGAGGUUGUAAGUUUAAUUUUUUAUAUAUAAAAUUUUAGACUCGCUAUGUUUGUUUGAGUUUUAAAUGAACAUUUAGGACUUGUGGGAUUAAAUUAAAGAUGACAUUUAAAUGAGAUGAUAUAAUUAAUAAGAAGUUGGCGGGGCUGAAGUGUGAUUUUUAUAAAACAUUUGAAUCUGCAACAUCUUUCAGCCAACAGAAAUAAAAGUGGCGCCAAAGAAAAAAAAAGAAAUUAAAAUAAUAAAAUAAUAAAAUAAUAAUAUUUAUAUAUAUCCAUCUACUUUAGCAACUCAUAAAUAGAAAGAGGGAGAAAGAAAGAGAAAGCUCGGAUGAAGAGAAGAGGAAAAGAAAGAGAAGAGGAGAGAGAGGAGGAGAGAGAAAGAAAUGAGAGAAAAUUAUAUGGAUGGUGUGGUUAAGUUUGAUCAUUGAAAGAUAGGGGUUGCCAGAUCACCGGUGUGAGAUGACAUUGGAUUAACGACAAAAAUUUUAAUAUGACGAUCAGGAAGCCGAUCGUUCAUAUUGACGGUGUCAAAAUUCCUAUUUGAGAUAAAGGGGGGUAGUUUAGUUUUUUGGGUUUUACUUUGGGUUUAUUGUUAAAGUUUAUAUAAAGUCUAUUGAGAUAUUAUUUUUUGUAUUAAAAUGAAAUGAACAAAAAUUAUGUGUUGAUGAGUAUAAUUUAUUUUAUGCGAAAAUUAAAAGAUAGAAAUGUUAAAAAUUUUAUUUGAAUUGUUUUGCUUUUAAUAUCAGAUUUUAUUAUUUAAAUUAAGGGCUCAUAAAGCUUUUUUAUAAAAAAUAUUUGACAGUUAUUUAUAUUAAAAUUAUCGCUUUAAUAAAUUAUGUUGGUUACAUUGAAUUGAUUGUGAUAAGGUGAUUUGGAUGAUACUAUUGAAAGUUGCUGUUAAAUAAAAAACUUCAAAAAAGACAUGAAACUUGGGUUUAGAAAUGGAAUUGGGACAUUGAGAAUGAAAAUGUGUAGGAAUGACACUCUAAAAUAUAACGGAAUAGGAUGGCUAGAUAAGCACACAAUAAAAUUCCUAGAUGCAAACGAUACGGAGGAAUGUCAUAGCCCACGGUUGAAAGUCUAGAAAGUGACAAAAAAGUCCUAGAGGCAAAGAUACGGACGGGAAUGUUUCAUUAGCCCACGGUGAAAAAGUCUGGAAAGUUGACAAAAAUAAAAGUCCUAGAUGGCAACGAUUACGGAGGGAAAUCAUAGGCCCAUGUGAACGUCCGAAAAAAGUGUACGAGUGUUAUCUCACGUUGAUUAGUGAUAAUGAGGUUGGUUAGGUAUUGUUGAGUGUGUCAUUCUAAAGAUGGAGUAAUACCUUGUGAGAAAGAAAAGUCAAAUUUUUGGAAAACCUUGUUGACUUGAGAAAUUAUGGAUUGAAAAUCAAAGUAUAUUUUGAUAUAAAUGAAGCAUAUUUUAUUGCAUCAUAUUUUCUAGUUAUAGUUAUGUAUCAUGGUUUGGCUUUGAAGAUCAGUCAAUUGUUAAAUCUUUUCAAGGUUAAUCACCUUAUUAAAAAAAUAAUUUCAGGUACCGGAGGUUGUCCUGGAGUCUUGAGGCAUGUGGAUGUCAGUUGUGUGUUAAUUUGAUAAACAUAUUAAAGUGUAAGGAGAUGUGUGUUUAAUUAUUUUUCCGCACUCUGAUAAAAUGACCGUGUGUGUCAUUUUUUUUUUUUGACUUUUCGCAUGUGAGUUGUUUGAUUACGUGGCCGGGUCUUGUUUUUGACCGGGACGUGACAUCACGGCAAAAAGUAAGCAUUAACCAUAUCCAACUUGCACCCAGAGUAUAUCCGACGUGCAACAGGACACAAACGACAUGCAACCCAGACAACCCUGAAUUGCACCCAAAAAGUAACCAUUCAACUAUGCAUUUCGGGUCAACGAUGAGCCUUUCGCAGACAACGGCGAGCCAUUCGGGUCGACGGCAAACUUGGUCGAAAGAGCUUAUGUGUUGGGGAGAAAAAUAGGAUGCAAGUCCUACAUACCUUACUUUUUAUUUCGCAAACGGUGUCGUUUCAGUGAAAGGAGGGGUAAAAUUAUUCAAGUGACCAUGUAAUUGAUAUUAUUUAGAAGUCAUUACCUUCAGCAUUAUUAUUAUGUGUUGACCACUGAAUUGAUAAUAAGUUGUGGUCUCACCACUGAAGUGACAUUUUCCUAUAUCACUACUACUGUAAUGCAAAAAGUGGAAGGACAAAUCUCAUGGCAGCAAUUUUGCUAGUUUCAAAUGUUCAUCAUUAGCUUGUUUCAUCAUUAGCAAUCUUCUUUGUUGGCUAAAUUAUAAUUAAAAAAACCUGGCUUAUACUUUUGUUCCUUAACGUUUAAAACCACUUGUGUUUAAAACUCAAGUGGUUGAGAUUUAGGUAUUGUAGCGAGCAGGUCAAGGGAAAAAAAAAUCUAAGUGAAGAAAGGAAAUGUGAUCCAAUGAUUCAAACUGCAUAUUUUUUAAUAGGAAAAAGUUUCAUACACACAUAAUAAACGAGUGUAUGAAUUAUUAGUUUUGGUUACGUACAUUUGUGUUUUUUGUUACGUAUUUUGUUGGUUAUGUUACGACUUUUAUAAAUUACAAAGUUAAGUAGUGACAUGUUAAACCGGUUACCAACAAGUUACCACUAUUAAAAAAAUAAAUUAUAUAACCAAACUAUAAAAAUUCGUAACUAGAGCCAGAAAAAUCAUGACAUAACCACAAAAUAUAUAACGAUGCUUGAAAUAGUAUUAAUCAUAAAAAUACAUAAUUAUGACUACAAAAAUUGUAAUAUAACCAUAAAAAUACUUAUUGAGACCACAAAAUCUCGUAACAAAAAUACUAAAAAUAUAAAAAAUCAAGAAAAUGCAUAACUUGAACCAAAACAAAUAUAACGCAACCAAAACAUGCAUAAUAAAUCAUAAAAAAAUAUGUAACUAAACCACAUCGAUGUAUUACAAAGAUAGUUAAUUAAAUAACAAUAAAAAUGCGUAACAAUGCCCACAAAAUGCAUAACAUAGCCAAAAAAUAUGUAACAAUAGCCACAAAAUGCAUAACAAGACAAAAAAAUGCUUAUCCAUGUAAAAAAAUUUAUAAACAUCUCUAUUGGCUUGGUUUCAAUCAAAGCAAUGUCCUCCAUAAUGUCUAAAAUGUAAUUCCGUUGGCACAGGUUGAUCCUUCCUUCAACCUGACAACUUCAAUAUCUAAAAAAUAUCAACGUUGAGCCAAAUCCGUGGUGUGGAACUAUCGUGGAAAAAAGUCUUCAAUUCUGCAAAACCUUGAGUAUCAUCACUAGUGUGAGCGCCAUGGCUAAAAAGCAUGCUUUUUCUUUAUUUUAAAAUAUCGAAGGAUAAGUUGCAAAGAAAAUGCUUUAACUAUAAUAAGUUUGGGCAUCGUACUUAUAAGUGCAAGAAAUCGAUGAAUCCUCACGCUCAAGCCCAUAUGACAGAGGUAGUCACGGGGGCAUCUUUGAUAUCAACUGCUCAGCUAUGGUUUCUGAAGUGAACAUGGUGGGUUUAAACCCACAAGAAUGGUAGAUAGACACAGGGGUUGUAUGCCAUGUUUGUUGUGACAAGCGAAUAUUCACUACCUUCAAGCCGUUUGCUAACAAUGAGAAGGUUUAUGUGAAGAAUUCAGCCACCUCAGAGGUUGUGGGGUAAGGCAAAGUGAAUCUAAAGAUGACUUCAAGAAAAGAGUUGACUCUGAAUAAUGUGUUGUUCGUGCCCGAAAUUUGAAAAAAUUUGGUGUCUAAUUUUCUGCGGAGCAAGCACAGUUUUCAUAUGGUCUUUAAGGCAGAUAUGUAGAAAAAUAUUAUAUGACUGAUGGUCUUUUCAAGAUGAAUGUAAUGAUUAUAAUCCCUACUAUUACUAAAAAAAAUUCUUGUAUGUGUUUGAGUCUUCUAUUUUGUGGCAUGGUAGACUAUGACAUGCUAGUUAUGAUUUUAUGCGUAAACUAAUUAACUUGGAUCAUAAUCCAGCUUUCCAUAUUGAUAAAAAUCACAAGUGUGAGACUUGUGUUGAGGCAAAAUUACCUCGAUCUUCGUUUUAUUUUGUUGAAAGAAGUACCGAAUCAUUGGGA